UGGGAGUGACAUAACACAAAUGUGAACACUGGCAGCCUGUUGACCAGUCAGCAUUUCAUCAGCUGCUUCAGCCUGCACCAGACCUCCACCUGACAGCUGUUAAGACACCUGAGCUUCUACAAUCAUCGCUCCUGUCCUGAAGCAAUGUCUGCCGUCUACCUCCUCCUGCUGCUGCUCCCUCUGGUGUCAGCGCAGACCUAUCACUGGGGUCGCUGUCCUACGCCCAAGGUGCAGCCCAACUUCAACCUUCAACAGUAUCUGGGCAGGUGGUAUGAGAUUGAGAAGCUCCCUGCUUCCUUUGAGAAGGGAACGUGCAUCGAGGCCAACUACAGCAUAGAAAAGAUGGCACCAUUCGGGUGCUGAACUCUCAGUUCUAGUGACAAGGUGACGGUAGC